rnacentral:rRNA from 1 species
CACGUAGGGGGCGAGCGUUGUCCGGAUUUAUUGGGCGUAAAGAGCUCGUAGGCGGCUCGGUAAGUCGGGUGUGAAACCUCCAGGCUCAACCUGGAGACGCCACUCGAUACUGCCGUGGCUAGAGUCCGGUAGAGGAGCGUAGAAUUCCUGGUGUAGCGGUGAAAUGCGCAGAUAUCAGGAGGAACACCGGUGGCGAAGGCGGGUCUCUGGGCCGGAACUGACGCUGAGGAGCGAAAGCGUGGGGAGCGAACAGG